rnacentral:rRNA from 1 species
CCUACGGGAGGCUGCAGUGAGGAAUAUUGGUCAAUGGGCGAGAGCCUGAACCAGCCAAGUCGCGUGAAGGAUGACGGCCCUACGGGUUGUAAACUUCUUUUGUCAGGGAGCAAUUGAGUCCACGUGUGGUCUUAGCGAGCGUACCUGAAGAAAAAGCAUCCGCAAACUCCGUGCAAGCAGCCGCGGUAAUACGGAGGAUGCGAGCGUUAUCCGGAUUUAUUGGGUUUAAGGGGUGCGUAGGGGGAAUAGCAAGUCAGCGGUAAAAAUUCGGGUGUAAACCCGGUCGUGCCGUUGAAACUGAGGUUCUUGAGUGGGCGAGAGGUAUGCGGAAUGCGUGGUGUAGCGGUGAAAUGCGUAGAUAUCACGAAGAACACCAGUUGCGAAGGCGGCCUACCGGAGGCCAACUGACGCUGAGGCUCGAAAGCGUGGGUAUCGAACAGGAUUAGAUACCCGAGUAGUC